UACGGAGGGUGCGAGCGUUGUUCGGAAUUACUGGGCUUAAAGGGUGCGUAGGCGGCUUGUUAGGUCAGGGGUGAAAGUUUUCGGCCCAACCGGAAAAUUGCCUUUGAUACUGGCGAGCUUGAGUGCGUGAGGGGUAACCGGAACGAGUGGUGUAGCGGUGAAAUGCGUAGAUAUCUGGAGGAACACCGGUGGCGAAGGCGGCAUCCUGGACCGACACUGACACUGAGGAGCGAAAGCCAGGGGAGCAAACGGG
rnacentral:rRNA from 1 species